rnacentral:rRNA from 1 species
CGAUGGCCGCUUGCGAGGUGCUGCAUGGUUGUCGUCAGCUCGUGCCGUGAGGUGUCGGGUUAAGGUCCCAUAACGAGCGCAACCCCUACUGCUAGUUGCCAGCGGGUCAUGCCGGGGACUCUAGCGGAACUGCCAGCGUAAGCUGCGAGGAAGGUGGGGAUGACGUCAAAUCAGCACGGCCCUUACGUCCAGGGCUACACACGUGUUACAAUGGCCGGGUACAGAGGGCAGCCACCCCGCGAGGGGGCGCGAAUCCCGAAAGCCGGUCCCAGUUCGGAUCGGAGUCUGCAACCCGACUCCGUGAAGCUGGAUUCGCUAGUAAUCGCGCAUCAGCCACGGCGCGGUGAAUACGUUCCCGGGCCUU